rnacentral:rRNA from 1 species
CCUACGGGAGGCAGCAGUGGGGAAUAUUGGACAAUGGGCGCAAGCCUGAUCCAGCCAUGCCGCGUGUGUGAAGAAGGCCUUAUGGUUGUAAAGCACUUUAAGCGAGGAGGAGGCUACUUUAGUUAAUACCUAGAGAUAGUGGACGUUACUCGCAGAAUAAGCACCGGCUAACUCUGUGCCAGCAGCCGCGGUAAUACAGAGGGUGCAAGCGUUAAUCGGAUUUACUGGGCGUAAAGCGCGCGUAGGCGGCUAAUUAAGUCAAAUGUGAAAUCCCCGAGCUUAACUUGGGAAUUGCAUUCGAUACUGGUUAGCUAGAGUGUGGGAGAGGAUGGUAGAAUUCCAGGUGUAGCGGUGAAAUGCGUAGAGAUCUGGAGGAAUACCGAUGGCGAAGGCAGCCAUCUGGCCUAACACUGACGCUGAGGUGCGAAAGCAUGGGGAGCAAACAGGAUUAGAUACCCUGGUAGUCCAUGCCGUAAACGAUGUCUACUAGCCGUUGGGGCCUUUGAGGCUUUAGUGGCGCAGCUAACGCGAUAAGUAGACCCGCCUGGGGAGUACGGUCGCAAGACUAAAACUCAAAUUGAAAUUGACCGG